rnacentral:rRNA from 1 species
AUUGAACGCUGGCGGCAGGCCUAACACAUGCAAGUCGAACGGUAACAGGAAGCAGCUUGCUGCUUCGCUGACGAGUGGCGGACGGGUGAGUAAUGUCUGGGAAGCUGCCUGAUGGAGGGGGAUAACUACUGGAAACGGUAGCUAAUACCGCAUAAUGUCGCAAGACCAAAGAGGGGGACCUUCGGGCCUCUUGCCAUCGGAUGUGCCCAGAUGGGAUUAGCUUGUUGGUGGGGUAACGGCUCACCAAGGCGACGAUCCCUAGCUGGUCUGAGAGGAUGACCAGCCACACUGGAACUGAGACACGGUCCAGACUCCUACGGGAGGCAGCAGUGGGGAAUAUUGCACAAUGGGCGCAAGCCUGAUGCAGCCAUGCCGUGUGUAUGAAGAAGGCCUUCGGGUUGUAAAGUACUUUCAGCGGGGAGGAAGGGAGUAAAGUUAAUACCUUUGCUCAUUGACGUUACCCGCAGAAGAAGCACCGGCUAACUCCGUG